rnacentral:misc_RNA from 1 species
AAAAUAGUGGUGUCCUACUGUACAAGCAGGCAGGCAGUUUCACUACCAGCAUUUACCUACUUAUUAACUGAGCUGCAAGGCUUCUAGCUUGCAUUAGAAACUGGAGUCUCCUGUCAUUACCAUGUUCUUCAAGAUAUGCAUAGUUAAGGUUCAUAAACAACUCCCUGUAAAGCUCACUGAUGUCGUCUAAGCCUUCAACUAUUCCAGCAGACAAGGAAUCUGAUUCUAGGACAUCCUCUGUGGGUUCAUUUUUACAGCCAUCUUGCCUAUGGCUUAGAGAACAGCUCCUUCGAAAUUGUUGUUCAGUGUAGUUACAGACUGCUGCUUCCAGUUUUGCAGCUAUUACAAUGGCUUGCUGAAUACAUGUGACCGGCAGUUGUGCAAGCUGAGCAACUUUAAAACCAAAACUUCUCCCAGAAACACCUGGUGCAAGUUUGUAUAGGUAGG